UGGGCCCGUAGCUCAGCUGGAUAGAGCGGCUGACUACGGAUCAGCAGGUCGGGGGUUCGARUCCUCCCGGGCCCGCC
rnacentral:tRNA from 1 species